rnacentral:lncRNA from 1 species
GGAAAGACAUAUAUUACCAGAAAUUAAUUCUGACACCGAAGAAGACUCAUCGGAUGAUUCCGAUUACGAGCCUUAGUUUUAAUUUAGAGGACGUAAUCCAUUAAUUUGUAUAACUAAAGACCUUUUCCUUUAUAGUUUACAUAUGUUGAAUUCAUAUUUCAGUUAUUUUAUAUGAAUUUUGGUGAUACAUGAUAAACAGGGAGUUAGUAUGGUUUACUAAUAUCGUCUGUUUUUUUUAAUGUAUUUUUUUCCUUAAGCCGACGAAAUACACCAUAAUUCGUCGGCUAAAACCAUCUUAGCCGACGAAUUAUAGUGUAUUUCGUCGGCUAAUAAAGUUUUAGCCGACGAAUAACCUAAUAUUUCGUCGGCUUUAGUUAUUUUUUAAUUUUUUAAUUACAUACUAUAGCCGACAAAUACGUUAGGGUAUUCGUCGGCUAAACUCUAAAAUUUUUCUAUUACCUACUAUAGCCCUAUCUUCGGUUGUUAUUUUCCGUAAAAUUUUUAAACGACUUCUUGCGUCUCAUCGGUUUGAAACUAUUUUCAGUUGGAGGUCCGGCCAAAAUACGUAAUUUAGACGGUCGAACGACCUUUUCCAUGCGUUUAGGGGUUUGACUUACGAGAUUGACCGUCCGGAUCGAUCCCCUAUUCUUGUCGGAUCAAGUUGAAUUUUUUUUCAUACAUGUAUUUUGUCAUGAUGGUCAGAUCUGACGGUCGGAUUUAUUUUUCUCAAGUUUGAUCAUCACAAUCACAACAUGCAUACUAAUGUUGUAUAACUUGUUUACCAAGUGUUAUGUAAAUGUUCCGUUUCAAAAACAAACUAUACGUAAAACCUUCAAACGCCAAAAAGUCAUGAAAUAAGAUAUGACGAGAAUGUUGAAAUACAUCAACGGUUGAAAAAUCACACUAUUCCGGUAAAUAUUCGGUGCCGAUAGUUGCGGUCAAUGCAAUUUUUCAUUCUUUCCCCCCUAUGAGUAGCCCUAUAUUCGGUGGUUAUUUUGCGUAAAAUUUUUAUACGACUUGUUGCGUGUCAUCGAU